AUUGAACGCUGGCGGCAUGCCUUACACAUGCAAGUCGAACGGUAACAGGUUAAGCUGCCGAGUGGCGAACGGGUGAGUAAUGUAUCGGAACGUGCCCAGUCGUGGGGGAUAACUGCUCGAAAGAGCAGCUAAUACCGCAUACGACCUGAGGGUGAAAGCGGGGGAUCGCAAGACCUCGCGCGAUUGGAGCGGCCGAUAUCAGAUUAGGUAGUUGGUGAGGUAAAGGCUCACCAAGCCGACGAUCUGUAGCUGGUCUGAGAGGACGACCAGCCACACUGGGACUGAGACACGGCCCAGACUCCUACGGGAGGCAGCAGUGGGGAAUUUUGGACAAUGGGCGCAAGCCUGAUCCAGCCAUGCCGCGUGCGGGAAGAAGGCCUUCGGGUUGUAAACCGCUUUUGUCAGGGAAGAAAAGGUUCUGGCUAAUACCUGGGACUCAUGACGGUACCUGAAGAAUAAGCGCCGGCUAACUACGUG
rnacentral:rRNA from 1 species